GACGAACGCUGGCGGCGUGCCUAAUACAUGCAAGUCGAGCGAAUAGAGAAGGAGCUUGCUCCUUCGACGUUAGCGGCGGACGGGUGAGUAAGACGUGGGCAACCUACCUUAUAGUUUGGGAUAACUCCGGGAAACCGGGGCUAAUACCGACUAAUCUGUUUCAUCUCAUGGUGAAACACUGCAAGACGGUUUCGGCCGUCGCUAUAGGUUGGGCCCGCGGCGCAUUAGCUAGUUGGUGAGGUAACGGCUCACCAAGGCGACGAUGCGUAGCCGACCUGAGAGGGUGAUCGGCCACACUGGGACUGAGACACGGCCCAGACUCCUACGGGAGGCAGCAGUAGGGAAUCUUCCACAAUGGGCGAAAGCCUGAUGGAGCAACGCCGCGUGAGUGAAGAAGGUUUUCGGAUCGUAAAACUCUGUUGUAAGGGAAGAACAAGUACAGUAGUAACUGGCUGUACCUUGACGGUACCUUAUUAGAAAGCCACGGCUAACUACGUGCCAGCAGCCGCAGUAAUAC
rnacentral:rRNA from 1 species